rnacentral:rRNA from 1 species
GUGGGGAAUAUUGCACAAUGGGCGCAAGCCUGAUGCAGCAACGCCGCGUGAGGGACGACGGCCUUCGGGUUGUAAACCUCUUUUAGCAGGGAAGAAGCGAAAGUGACGGUACCUGCAGAAAAAGCACCGGCUAACUACGUGCCAGCAGCCGCGGUAAUACGUAGGGUGCAAGCGUUGUCCGGCAUUAUUGGGCGUAAAGAGCUCGUAGGCGGUUUGUCGCGUCUGCUGUGAAAACCCGAGGCUCAACCUCGGGCCUGCAGUGGGUACGGGCAGACUAGAGUGCGGUAGGGGAGAUUGGAAUUCCUGGUGUAGCGGUGGAAUGCGCAGAUAUCAGGAGGAACACCGAUGGCGAAGGCAGAUCUCUGGGCCGUAACUGACGCUGAGGAGCGAAAGCGUGGGGAGCGAACAGGAUUAGAAACCCCAGUAGUCC